UGGCAUGUAGCUCAGAUGGAUAGAGCAGCAGCUUUUGGAGCUGGUUGUCGCGGGUUCGAAUCCCGCCAUGCUAUC
rnacentral:tRNA from 1 species